GUUGCAUGCAGUAGGCUAUAAGGUAAGUAGUGAUUGUUCAUUUGACGUUUACUCAAGUGGAAGAAUGUAAGUAAUAAACUUAUUAUCUUAAUAUCAAAACCUUACAUUUUCUCUGGACCUAAUGAUAAAUACAUAUCUGACCUUUGGAAUGAACCAAAAAAACCUAGAAAUCGCAUUCAUAACGAUUUAUGGUGAUUUUAUUUCUUUGCCUACAUUGACGCUAAUGCAUUAAGAGGAGGGGGUCCCCCGUACCAAGAUGGCGGCUCAGUUGACGCAUUCGUUCCAAUGUACUGCCCUAUACAAGGCGACAUCUAGUGUGUAUAUAUAUCUAUGGUCACAAAGAUCUCGGUCCAUAAUGUUUAUUAUCCACUAGAGGGCGCUUGUGUACAUCAGCACUCAUUAGCACUCACUCACUUCCUGUUUGUCAUGCACAUGGUGAGAUGGAACAAAUGUAAUUGUUACAAGGUAAAGCUAUUUCUACCUGUAUCGUAUGCCAUCCAUCCAAGAAGGUGCAAGUUAUAACCCCUUCUCUUAAGUCACAAGCAGGCAAAAGUGUGUGUUGGUGUUGAUGUCUAUACCAAUAAAAUAAAACAUCUGUGCAAAAGAACCUCAGCCUUCGCAAUGUGACUAAGGGCGGCAUACCGAGUGUGUGUCUAACAGAGGAGGAAAAGACAACAGAAAUGUUAUUGGUGGGCCGUAUGCAUCAUAUGGGGAAUAUACCUAUAUGGAAUCUUCACUCUGAGUUCGACCCCUGGGUCUUAAAGUCACCGGAUUCAUGUUUCCUAACUGAGCAGAUACACAGAUCACUUGUAAGCUUUAGGGCAUUGAUCCUUCCAUAAACUUGUCUAUCCAUCCAUAUAUUUAAAUAACAACUUACGUUAUGCAUCUUUUUAAAUAGAUUUUUUUUUCUUGCAUACAGUUGGUAUGUGUUUGAGGUAUCGUAGAUAGAUAUCAUGAUAGUUUGAGAUAUAGAUAGAAUUAAUCAAUGAUAAAACAUUGAAACAUUCAAAUAAAAAAAUCGGUGUGAUGCUGCCAUGUGUAUUGCUCAUGCUGUGUGCUACUUGCAAAUUGGUCAAUUAAUGACAAGUAAAUUUUGAAUUAAAAUAAUUCAAAUGGGGGAUCAGGAGGAAACCAAAUGAUUGUCAUCUAAAUAAUGAUCACUGUGUUCCAAUUAGCUUAGAAGCAUCAAUAUUUUUUUUUUCCUUAAAGCAUUUUUUUCAUUUUAAUCAAUCAAACUGACACAAAAUAUCUGACUUUAUAGACUAAUUAUUGUCACCUCACUGAUCCCUAGGGAUUAUUGUAUGAGCCUCAAAGAUAGUUAAGUAAAGACAUUGUAUUCCCUGUUAUUUUUCUCUAAACCCCACAUUUCCUUUCUAAAACAUCAGCUUUGUGUUUUCUGUGUGCUUUAGGUGGUCCAGAAUAGUGACCCCACCAUACAGGAGUCAGAACCUUUUCAUUGCUUAACUCAGUUAUGUACAGAGUAGUUUGAAUUUUUGUUUUCUCAGUGGAACGAAAUGUGGCAUAAAUACAUAAAGAAAUUUAUUUAUUUUAUUUAUUCAUAAAUAAUAUUCUUGGGACUAUAAUAACACUUAAAAAAAAAAAAAAAAGAAUUUUUUUUUUAGACACAUGGUCCAGAUGUCUUUUAAUUUGAAAAGCAUU